ACUAUUUUAAUUUAGUCAAUUUAUUAAAUUAGAAAUUAAUUGAAAAUCAAUUGACCAUAAUUACAAUGCAAUUGAUCAACUGAGGCUAAAAUUUAAACACUAUUGUCUAAAUUCUCAUUUUUUGGGGCUAUUUAAUAAAGGCCCUAAAUCCCCAAUUCCCAACCAUUCCAACAAAUUUCAACCAGCCCUCUUCCCAAAUCAGGCCCAACAGCCUUCUCCAGCCCAAAAUACCUGACCCAGUCUCCCGAUCAGUGUAUCACCGUCGUAGCUAAUGGUACAAUAACAACAGAAGCAAACAAUAUCAGCAACCAUCUGCCCCAUCAACCCAGCUCAGCAACAGCGGCCCAACAUCAGCAAAACCGACCCGGCACAUCCCUUUCUCCUCUUUAAACGACAGAACAGGCAACAUCAACAGCGUACCACAACAGCAAAAACGCUAAGGGUGUUCAACCCCAACCACCAACCUUAGCCGUUACCCCUCCAUUUACCGAUUUACCCUCAUGAUUCUUCCAUUCAUGGCCAAAGUUCAGAAAGCUUUCACCCUUUUCAGCCCAUGACUCACCAACUUGGGAAACCAUUAAUUCAACUUUUGACCAACCCAACCAACAGCUCGUUUUGGUUUCUUUGUCCUCCUUUUCACUUGUCCGUUCUGAUUUCACUACCAAAUUGAUGCAAAGUCCAGCUUUGUGUAUUGUCAGAUGGAGGAUCUCAAAAAUCUCUUCGUUUUCUUUACAAAAGAUUUCAAAUCCGAAAAUUGGAAACCAUAGCAACCCCCCCCCCCCCCCCAACCCAAUUUUUCCCUAUAAAUAGAGGCUAAGGAGAAGGGGAGGAUUUUUGGGGAAAAAUUGGGGGUUCUGAAGGUGCUUGCCUUGAACCUCACGAAACCAAAAUUCUCAAAGAACCAUCGAAAGAUCAAAAUUCGACGUUCUCGUUCAAAUUCCAUUGGUCAGAAUCAACUCGAGGUGGUGGAAUCUCAUUCGAUUAAAAGCUCGUCGUCCCGGUGUCGCUGCUCGAAAACAGGAUAUGGCUCAACUGCAUUCACACAAAAGGUUCAAGAUAGUUACCGGACCCGGUAACUUCCUGAAACUAUGGUGGAAACACAUGAACGGAGAAGAAAGAAAGAUUGUUAGAACACAUAUCGGGCAUUUGCCUUCGUUGAUCGAGAUGGACGUUUGGCCCAAAAUAAUCCAUAUGCUGACGACCUUUUGGGAUGAUCAGAAUAUGGUGUUUCACUUCGAGGAUGCUGAAUUGACUCCCACUAUAAAAAGGUGUUGAUUUGUUACGAGAGUACUGAAAUGUGUUUCAAAAGAAAAGAGACAUCCGAUAAGUACAUUUUAUUCCCGGUUGUGUGGGACCAUCAAAAGAUCAAGAAAGCCAUUUUAAUUGGUGAUGACACCUAGUUAGGGGAACGUGAUGGGGCAAAUAUCCCUUUUCAUGAGUUGUAUCGCCGGUUCGGAAGGUUUAAUGCUUUUCAUUAGUUCAGACAUAAAUUUGAGUCGGAAGCAAAAUAGAAGGAGACAAGAGCAUUUGCAUUUGCGGUAGGCCUACUUGAAACUAUGGUGUUUCCACAAGGGGAAAAUGGGGCAAUUUAUCUAAGGGUUGUCACGGUGACCCAUGCUCUCUUGUAUGGAAUGAAGUACGGUUCUAAAAAGGUAUUCCAUAACGUAGCUCCCAUGAUUGUAGCCGACAUAUAUCGAGCUUUAGAAAGAUGUCAAGCCGAGAAUCAUUUCUUUCAAGGUUGCAACCUUAUCUUGCAAUGGUGGAUGAUGAUGCAUUUGGUGAAAAAUCCUAGAACAGUACAGCCUGAUCAUAAAACAAGGUAUGAUCUUUUAUCAUCACAUGACAUGUAGUUGUUCCUGCACAAGUUCAAAAGGGAAGCAUCUCUGGGAUUUUGGUUUAAAACUUUUGGAGAGUUAGGGAUGACGAUGUCCAAUGGUCCGUCAAAUAUCUUCGUUCAGGGAGAUACACCAUUCGGGAGGGUGAGUGACCUUUUCUAGUGCUUCCAGGUCUCAGAGGGACCGGUCUCUACAACCCUGGCAGAGUUCUUAGGCAAUUCGAGAUCAAGCAGGAGACACCCCAAAUCGAGUCUAUGCUUAGAUUCUUCAUGAGUAUGAUGAAGACGAGUCUCCGCUCAAAGACUACAUGGUAAAUGGAUGGAGAAGAAGAGGGUGGAAGGAAGUCUCUUUAUAUAUCGAGUAUGAACCCGAAGUCAGCAACACUUACAUGGAGCGGUUGAAAAAGAAUCUGGCCAACGCAUUGAUUCCGAGGUCGAAUAUACCCACUUGGGUUGUUGAUGUAGAAUCAGAGCAUCAAAUCCGACUCCACAGGCUUUGGGAUGAAUUUCAAAAAAGUGAAAUCACGCACCAGCAAAUGCAUAUGGAGGAUGCUUUAACUAUACAUAUGUUGAGGGAAGAGUUAAAGCGAGUCAGGUAGGAGGCUAAUGAUGCUAGGCAGUGUUUGAUUGAUUUGGAUAAUUGCAUGGUUGCUCAGAUCGGCGACAUAGAAAGAUGAACCUACGAGAACAAGGCGCAAUUGUGUGGGAGUCAUUUGAUCAUCAACAUAUAUCAGAUUUGGCAGGUUGUGAACAAGUCUAAGAAGGCAAAGGCAAGCGAAUGAGCAUCUAGUAGCUAGUUUUUCUAUUCCCUUGCGUGGGACCUUAUUUUCUUUCAUGUUAUUUCCCGUUCCCCUAAAGAUUGUAUCCCUCUUUUGUUAUCUUUUGUAAGCAUUUAUGUCCUUUGACAUAUCUAUGAAAAUUGGGAGGAUAAUGGAUUGGCUUUUAAAAGGCAUAUAUUUUCUUCAAAAUUUGCUAGGCCAACCCUUGGCUCAAAGGGAUAACCCAACUAAGAAGCGCGUAUUAUCUGUUGUGUGUGAUAUAACUGUCUUAUGUGAUAUAACUGUUGUUUAUGUGCUAUGUGUGUUGUUAAAUCAAAGGUAAAUUGAUCUACUCCACAACAGAUCCUUAGAAAACCCUUUAGGCAGAAAAUACACACCUACUAUCUAAGGUCCGUCCAAAAUAUAUCAAGUCCCCAAGUUUCUCAGAAAGUCCUCAACUAUUUUCGUAUUUUUAUUCUUUCAGGAAAAUUUAUCAUGGAUUUAAGGACCACACAGCUGAAAUGACGGAUAGUGGAGUUAGCCAAAAUAGAAGAAAUACAAAAAUAAGAGGUCAAGAGAUUGAUUAGGAGGGCCGAUUAGGUCGAGGAGAAAAUUGCUAAAGUCAAGCAGUUGAUCACACAGGAAAAGAAGAAGUUUGAGCAUGCACCUUCAAACUUAAGAGAGGACCGCUGGGCCAAGAUUAAAAGGGAUGUCGUCUGGCCAACUAGGAUCAGGGCAGGAAAUGAAAAAAUCACCCUCAAAGCUCACUCAAAAGGAUACUCUCGGUACCCCCAGCUCAUGACAUGCUCGACAGUCUAUCAGGUUCAAAGAGAUAUGAUAAUCCUCUACCCUAAUCAAAUAGAAGGAUUUGGCUGCCUUCCCGAAGAUGUUCAUAAGAGAUGUCAUUAUCAUCCAAACCAAUGUGGCCACACCAUUGAUCCAGGCAUGCCCAUCAACGACGAGCAGAUUUACAAAUACGACUUCACAAAGUUUGAAGAUACUUACCAUGAAAUCUACUCAAAACUCAUCCAUGCCAAAAUUUUGGAACCAGUAGAAAGGAAGCCUAAUACGAUGUCUAAGGCUUGGAAAAAAAUUUGAGAGGUUUGCCAUUAUUAUGGAGGGAUCAGCGGGCACGACUUGGAGACAUGCCACGCUUUUAAGAUGGAUUUAGAGAGCCUGGUGGAUACAGAAAGGGUCGAGCUGUAAUUCCCGCCAUACCACCUAUAGAAGAUCAAGAUGUGGAAGAAGUAGAAUGGUGUGGGAAUGCCCGCAUCUAUCUAGGACUUAGUCAUUAGUCUUGUCUUUUCUUUCACUGUUUUCCUUUCAUGUUUUCUUGAUGUAAUGAACUCUAAUGGAAUGUCAAUGAAAUGAAGUUUUUUCCCAA